UACGGAGGGGGCUAGCGUUGUUCGGAAUUACUGGGCGUAAAGCGUACGUAGGCGGCUUGGUAAGUUAGAGGUGAAAGCCCGGAGCUCAACUUCGGAAUUGCCUUUAAGACUGCUUGGCUUGAACGUCGGAGAGGUGAGUGGAAUUCCGAGUGUAGAGGUGAAAUUCGUAGAUAUUCGGAAGAACACCAGUGGCGAAGGCGGCUCACUGGACGACUGUUGACGCUGAGGUACGAAAGCGUGGGGAGCAAACAGGAUUAGAAACCCCCGUAGUCC
rnacentral:rRNA from 1 species